rnacentral:rRNA from 2 species
GGAGGUAGUGACAAUAAAUCACAAUGCGGGACUUUUAGUUUUGCAAUUGGAUUGAGAACAAUGUAAAAGAGUUAUCGAUAAACAAUUGGAGGGCAAGUCUGGUGCCAGCAGCCGCGGUAAUUCCAGCUCCAAUAGCGUAUAUUAACGUUGUUGCAGUUAAAAAGCUCGUAGUUGAAGUGUGGGGUGAAAAGUUGGUUGUUUCUUUGAAAUGGCUGUCUGCUCACCCCCUCUCCAAUGUGUUAUUAUGGGUAUUAAUUUACUUGUAAUAGCUAUUGGUCAUUUACUGUGAGAAAAUUAGAGUGUUCAAAGCAGGCAUUUGCUUGAAUAUAUUAGCAUGGAAUAAUAAUAAAAGGCUUUUGUGGUCGAUUUAAUUGGUUUGUUCAUAAAAGCAAGAUUAAUAGGGACAGUUGGGGGUAUUCAUAUUCAAUAGUUAGAGGUGAAAUUCUCGGAUUUAUGGAAGAUGAACAAGUGCGAAAGCA